UACGUAGGGUGCGAGCGUUAAUCGGAAUUACUGGGCGUAAAGCGUGCGCAGGCGGCGCGUUAAGACAGGUGUGAAAGCCCCGAGCUUAACUUGGGAAUUGCGCUUGUGACUGGCGUGCUGGAGUCUGGCAGAGGGGGGUAGAAUUCCACGUGUAGCAGUGAAAUGCGUAGAUAUGUGGAGGAACACCGAUGGCGAAGGCAGCCCCCUGGGUCAAGAUUGACGCUCAUGCACGAAAGCGUGGGGAGCAAACAGG
rnacentral:rRNA from 1 species